rnacentral:rRNA from 1 species
CACGUAGGGCGCAAGCGUUUGUCCGGAAUUAUUGGGCGUAAAGAGCUCGUAGGUGGUUUGUUACGUCUGCUGUGAAAACCUAGGGCUUAACCCUGGGCUUGCAGUGGAUACGGGCAGACUAGAGGUAGGUAGGGGAGAAUGGAAUUCCUGGUGUAGCGGUGAAAUGCGCAGAUAUCAGGAGGAACACCGGUGGCGAAGGCGGUUCUCUGGGCAUGUCCUGACGCUGAGGAGCGAAAGUGUGGGGAGCGAACAGG